GACGAACGCUGGCGGCGUGCUUAACACAUGCAAGUCGAGCGGUAAGGCCCUUUCGGGGGUACACGAGCGGCGAACGGGUGAGUAACACGUGGGUGACCUGCCCUCAGCUCUGGGAUAAGCCCGGGAAACUGGGUCUAAUACCGGAUAUGACUUCAUGACGCAUGUUGUGGAGUGGAAAGCCUUGUGCGGCUGAGGAUGGGCCCCGCGGCCUAUCAGCUUGUUGGUGGGGUGAUGGCCUACCGAGGCGACGACGGGUAGCCGGCCUGAGAGGGCGACCGGCCACACUGGGACUGAGAUACGGCCCAGACUCCUACGGGAGGCAGCAGUGGGGAAUCUUGCGCAAGUGGGCGAAAGCCUGACGCAGCGACGCCGCGUGAGGGAUGAC
rnacentral:rRNA from 1 species